AGUGAACGCUGGCGGUAGGCCUAACACAUGCAAGUCGAACGGCAGCACAGUAAGAGCUUGCUCUUACGGGUGGCGAGUGGCGGACGGGUGAGGAAUACAUCGGAAUCUACUUUUUCGUGGGGGAUAACGUAGGGAAACUUACGCUAAUACCGCAUACGACCUACGGGUGAAAGCAGGGGAUCUUCGGACCUUGCGCGAUUGAAUGAGCUGAUGUCGGAUUAGCUAGUUGGCGGGGUAAAGGCCCACCAAGGCGACGAUCCGUAGCUGGUCUGAGAGGAUGAUCAGCCACACUGGAACUGAGACACGGUCCAGACUCCCACGGGAGGCAGCAGUGGGGAAUAUUGGACAAUGGGCGCAAGCCUGAUCCAGCCAUACCGCGUGGGUGAAGAAGGCCUUCGGGUUGUAAAGCCCUUUUGUUGGGAAAGAAAAGCAGCAGGUUAAUACCCCGCUGUUCUGACGGUACCCAAAGAAUAAGCACCGGCUAACUUCGUG
rnacentral:rRNA from 1 species